rnacentral:rRNA from 1 species
CGUGUAGGCUGCUUGGAAAGUCGGAUGUGAAAGCCCUGGGCUCAACCUAGGAAGAGCAUUCGAAACUUCCAAGCUCGAGUUUCGGAGAGGAAGGCGGAAUUCUCGGUGUAGAGGUGAAAUUCGUAGAUAUCGAGAGGAACAUCGGUGGCGAAGGCGGCCUUCUGGACGAUGACUGACGCUGAGACGCGAAAGCGUGGGGAGCAAACAG